rnacentral:rRNA from 2 species
UACGGGGGGGGGCAAGCGUUGUUCGGAAUUACUGGGCGUAAAGGGCUCGUAGGCGGCCAACUAAGUCAGACGUGAAAUCCCUCGGCUUAACCGGGGAACUGCGUCUGAUACUGGAUGGCUUGAGGUUGGGAGAGGGAUGCGGAAUUCCAGGUGUAGCGGUGAAAUGCGUAGAUAUCUGGAGGAACACCGGUGGCGAAGGCGACAUCCUGGACCGGUAUUGACGCUGAGGCGCGAAAGCCAGGGGAGCAAACGGG